GGCGCCGAGAGAAGAGCUAGGCCUGCCCAGCACAGAGCCGGAGAGCGUCGGGCCUUCCGGAAGGCGACGAGAUGAGUUCCUACUUGACCUCUGAGCCAAGGUGGGCCGGAAACCGAGGCCUAGGCCCCGCCGGGGCUGCAAGGAAAAGGCGAAACUCCGAGCGUAGCGUCUUUUCCGUGUGGUUCCUUUCUCUGGCAUCCCGGACCGCGGGCCCUGCAGCCACCUGGACCGACAUUCAAAGGAUUCUGCAAGUCCAGCUUCACAGACUGGCUUUCCCAGACGCUCCGAAGCCCGCACCACGAACAGAAUAAAGGAGAGACGAGAGAUCGCAACUGGAACACAGUAUGCCUCUUCCCAAUGUUUUAUUCGGUUUCUGGUUUCCCCACUUUUGACCGGAAGUAUGUGGGAAGAAUACUGGCUGUUAUUAUUAUGAUUAUUGAGUGUCCAAUACUCUCCUCCAAUAUUUCUUUUUGUUGUGGUGGUGGUGGUUGGGUUCUUCUUUGUUUUUGUUUUUUUGUUUUUCCUGUUCAGGGUAAUGAAAUGAGAACUGGAAGAGGGGAUAUCAUUUUGAGGCCCAGCUGAGAAGGAUCCCAAUGCUAAAAAUUUACACACUUCAAAGAGCAGAAAGGUGGAAGCGAGUGGUGCUUGGACACAAGGAUGCCACUGCUCUUAUCUCCUCCAAUUUGGGAAGUGCCCAGCCUAGAAAGCCUCUCUUUUGGGGAGAGACUUUCUUGAGAGAGGACACUACAGGACUCAGCUACAGAGCUCUGCUAUACAUGGGUGGGAUUGGAGGCCGCCACCCCACCUGGAACUCAGUCUCCUGUGGCUCCCUGGUGCUGGGUUUCUGGCCUUUGGUGACAUCCUAACAGAAGGGUCCGGAAGCAGGGACCCCAGACACCUUGCUCCCUCUCCCAAAUCACACCCAAAACAUACUGGGGUGAAAC
rnacentral:lncRNA from 1 species